AACCUGGCGGAUGUUCAUACUGCAGCUGAACGUGAAAGACUUCGGGUCCAGUGACCUGAAGCACGGGUGAGUAACGCGUAGAUAAUCUGCCCCGCUGUCUGGGAUAACCUUUCGAAAGGGAGGCUAAUACCGGAUAACACGAUUUCUUUUAAGGGAGUCGUUGAAAGUUGCGGCGCAACGGGAUGAGUCUGCGUCCCAUUAGCUAGUUGGUGGGGUAAAGGCCUACCAAGGCGACGAUGGGUAGCGGGUUUGAGAGGACGAUCCGCCACACUGGAACUGAGACACGGUCCAGACUCCUACGGGAGGCAGCAGUAGGGAAUUUUGCGCAAUGGGCGAAAGCCUGACGCAGCAAUGCCGCGUGAGUGAAGAAGGCCCUCGGGUCGUAAAGCUCUUUAUCUUCGGGAAGAUGAUGACGGUACCGAAGGAAGAAGCACCGGAUAACUACGUGCCAGCAGCCGCGGUAAUACGUAGGGUGCAAGCGUUGUUCGGAAUCACUGGGCGUAACGGGCGUGUAGGCGGAACGAUUAGCGAGGGGUGAAAUCCCGGGGCUCAACACCGGAAAUGCUCUUCGAACAGUCGAUCUAGAGAAAGUCAGGAGCCGGAGGAAUUCCUGAUGUAGAGGUGA
rnacentral:rRNA from 1 species